UACGUAGGGUGCGAGCGUUGUCCGGAAUUUAUUGGGCGUAAAGAGCUCGUAGGCGGUGUGUCACGUCGGCCGUGAAAACCUGCAGCUUAACUGUGGGCGUGCGGUCGAUACGGGCAUCACUGGAGUUCGGCAGGGGAGACUGGAAUUCCUGGUGUAGCGGUGAAAUGCGCAGAUAUCAGGAGGAACACCGGUGGCGAAGGCGGUUCUCUGGGCCGUAACUGACGCUGAGGAGCGAAAGCAUGGGGAGCGAACAGG
rnacentral:rRNA from 1 species